UCGUGUCGUGAGAUUGGUUGGGUUAACGUCCCGACAACGAGCGCAACCCUUGUCAUUAGUUGCCAUCAUUUUGGUUGGGCACUCUAAUGAGACUGCCGGUGACAAACCGGAGGAAGGUGGGGAUGACGUCAAGUCCUCAUGGCCCUUAUGGGUAGGGCUUCACACGUCAUACAAUGGUCGGUACAGAGGGUUGCCAACCCGCGAGGGGGAGCUAAUCCCACAAAGCCGAUCGUAGUCCGGAUCGCAGUCUGCAACUCGACUGCGUGAAGUCGGAAUCGCUAGUAAUCGUGGAUCAGCAUGUCACGGUGAAUACGUUCCCGGGCCUU
rnacentral:rRNA from 1 species